rnacentral:rRNA from 1 species
AGCAGUGGAGUAUGUGGUUUAAUUCGAAGCAACGCGAAGAACCUUACCAAGUCUUGACAUCCCUCUGAAUCUGCUAGAGAUAGCAGCGGCCUUCGGGACAGAGGAGACAGGUGGUGCAUGGUUGUCGUCAGCUCGUGUCGUGAGAUGUUGGGUUAAGUCCCGCAACGAGCGCAACCCUUGAUUUUAGUUGCCAGCAGGUAAGGCUGGGCACUCUAGAAUGACUGCCGGUGACAAACCGGAGGAAGGCGGGGAUGACGUCAAAUCAUCAUGCCCCUUAUGACUUGGGCUACACACGUACUACAAUGGCUGGUACAACGGGAAGCGAAGCCGCGAGGUGGAGCCAAUCCUAUAAAAGCCAGUCUCAGUUCGGAUUGCAGGCUGCAACUCGCCUGCAUGAAGUCGGAAUUGCUAGUAAUCGCGGAUCAGCAUGCCGCGGUGAAUACGUUCCCGGGUCUUGUACACACCGCCCGUCACACCACGAGAGUUUACAACACCCGAAGU